rnacentral:rRNA from 1 species
GUGCCAGCAGCCGCGGUAAGACAGAGGGUGCAAACGUUGCUCGGAAUUACUGGGCGUAAAGCGCGUGUAGGCGGUUCCGCAAGUCAGGUGUGAAAGCCCAGGGCUCAACCCUGGAAGUGCACUUGAUACUACGGAGCUUGAGUACUGAAGAGGAGAGCGGAAUUCCCGGUGUAGAGGUGAAAUUCGUAGAUAUCGGGAGGAACACCAGUGGCGAAGGCGGCUCUCUGGGCAGAUACUGACGCUGAGACGCGAAAGCAUGGGGAGCAAACAGGAUUAGAUACCCUGGUAGUCC